CACGGGGGGAGCAAGCGUUGUUCGGAAUCACUGGGCGUAAAGGGCGUGUAGGCGGUCAAGUAAGUGGAAUGUGAAAGCCCCCGGCUUACCCGGGGAUCUGCAUCCCAAACUGCUUGGCUUGAGUACGGGAGAGGAUAGGGGAAUUCCUGGUGUAGCGGUGAAAUGCGUAGAUAUCAGGAGGAACACCGGUGGCGAAGGCGGGUCUCUGGGCCGGUACUGACGCUGAGGUGCGAAAGCGUGGGGAGCAAACAGG
rnacentral:rRNA from 1 species